rnacentral:rRNA from 1 species
CCCUUAGAUGUUCUGGGCCGCACGCGUGCUACACUGAGUGGAUCAGCGGGUCAGGUUGCGCGAAAGCGUUUCCUAAUCUUUAAAUCCGCUCGUGAUGGGGAUUGACGGUUGCAAUUUUCUGUCAUGAACGAGGAAUACCUUGUAAGCGCGGGUCAUCAUCCCGCGCUGAAUACUUCCCUGCCCUUUGUACACACCGCCCGUCGCUCCUACCGAUUGAGUGGUCCGGUGAGGCUUUGGGAUCUGAGCGGAAAGAGCGUUUCGCUGUUUCUGCUCGGAAAACUCAGUCGAACCUUAUCAUUUAGAGGAAGGAGAAGUCGUAACA